CUAUUUUGGCAUUCAACUAACACAUCUUUGUUCUGAUUUGGUAAAUUGACUCAUAUUAUAAUUGUUUUUGUGCCAAAUUGCAGAUCAUAUAGCCCUUAUACUUGCGCAUUCUAAUCUUUUAUGUACUGAAUAUGUGUUUUUCGUUGAUCAAAUUUCCUAGUCUUUGUUUUUGUCAUAUGUUUUUAAAUUGUAUUUUUUUGUGAACACCUUCAGUCUUGUUUUUCUCUUUCGAAGUUUUUGUUAAAAUUUGUCCAGAUGGUUGAUGGGAGGCUGAUUUUUGUUGAAGUUGCCCAGAGUCAAAAACAUGAAGAGGAUACCAAAUCUAGAUAAUGACCUAAUUUUUUCUCUAUGUUGUUCAAGAUGGGUUAACUUCUUAAGAUUGAACACAUAUUAUAUUACUAUUGUAUGCUCAUCAUUGCUUUGGUAAUUCAAGUUUGAGAAAUCUGAAUACAGCUUCCUCUUGUAAUGUCAUUUUUCCCAUUAAAAAAGAGAAGAAAUGAUUCUAUUAUACUUCAGCGAGUAAAGGUAUUUUGAAAAAUAACCAAAGGUUUUGGCAUAUCUUUACUUUUAUUGUUUCUUUUUGUAUAUUCGUUUUGGAUAGUAAUUACCUUCAAAAGGUUAAGAACUUGUAAACUUUUGGGUAAGUAAUUAUCUUCAAAAUUUAAGAACUUAUAAACUAAGUGUUGUCUUUUUAUAUUCAUAUAACUGAAGUUAGUUCUAGCAUAUAUGCCAUGCCCUUGAUCGCCGAUAUUAAUAGGUACGAAAAGGAAAGUGUUUUGGCCUGAAACUUUGGGCAUUUACUUGUGCAUUUUGAGAUCACCAAGGGGACUAAUUAUGUAUAGAGCUAGAAGGAAGGACACCCAAAUGGAAUUGGAUGAGGUGCGAGGAGAAUUGGCAAGUCAUGUCCUAGAAUGGCUUUUUGAUUAAGCUAAACAUUCCUUCAUUUUAUGUCUUUCUAGCUAGUAUUUUGCUUAUGCAUAGACAAGUAUGGAUAAUUUAUGGUGUAGGGCUGGUAAAUUUGUGAUUUGGAUGUGACAAGUAUGGAUCAUUCAAGUAUUUUGCUUAUAUAUAUAGACAAUUAUGGAUAUAUUUAAAUUACUGUU